AACGAACGCUGGCGGCAGGCCUAACACAUGCAAGUCGAACGCCCGUAGCAAUACGGGAGUGGCAGACGGGUGAGUAACGCGUGGGAACGUGCCCUUCGGUUCGGAAUAACUCAGGGAAACUUGAGCUAAUACCGGAUACGUCCGUAAGGAGAAAGAUUUAUCGCCGAAGGAUCGGCCCGCGUCGGAUUAGCUAGUUGGUGAGGUAAUGGCUCACCAAGGCGACGAUCCGUAGCUGGUCNGAGAGGAUGAUCAGCCACACUGGGACUGAGACACGGCCCAGACUCCUACGGGAGGCAGCAGUGGGGAAUAUUGGACAAUGGGCGAAAGCCUGAUCCAGCCAUGCCGCGUGAGUGAAGAAGGCCUUAGGGUUGUAAAGCUCUUUCAGCGGGGAAGAUAACGACGGUACCCGCAGAAGAAGCCCCGGCUAACUUCGUGCCAGCCGCCGCUGUAAU
rnacentral:rRNA from 1 species